UUCUCAUCUUCCUUAAGUGAUUAGUGAUCACUUACCCCUGAAUACAACAGCUCUGAAUGGUGGCUUUAAGAUGAACUCCCAACACUUAAAUAAGCCUGAAAUAAUAAGCCUGACAUAAAAGAUAUGUCUGAAACAAGAGAAACAGUUAUUUUUGGGGUGGUUAAACAGAGAUUUGCAUAUCAAGAUCCUUUUUCAGUUCGCUCCUUAAUUUUCUUUUUGAUUUUCAGCAGAUGUGAAUUACAAUAAGAUGCCUCUACCUACAUCUUCCAUCACAGCUGGCUGUCAAAUCUCUUGGAAGGCUGUUUUCUAAACCAGUGUGAUGCCUCAGGUGCAGAAGAGAGAGACAAUAAUUAACAAUGUGGCCUGCAGCAUCUUGGGGAACAAUUAAUUUUAGUGAAUGGACAAGGGGAGGAAGUGGGAAGAUUCAGGCAGCGAUUAUUACUUAAGACACCAUCUCUUUGAAGAGUAUAUAUGCAAUAAUGCUCCAUUUCAGCCAGCACAACAAAGCCUGGUACAGAAUUGCUUUUUGUUGGACAUAUUGUUGCUGUGAGAAUGUGCUAUCUACUGCUUCAGGACAGUUGUGUUUUACUGCACGCUCCCUGGGUGAAACCUACAAAGCCACAACAUUUUUUUCCUGUCUUUGCAUUGAAAACAAGUGCUCAGAUUGGGAGCUGUGCUGCUCUCCUGCUGGGAAUCAUGGAGCAGCCACCCCUGCCUGUCUCCCCAUCUCUGUCUCCCUCCUGGGUUCUGUCUGACGUGCAUCAGAUGCUGUGAUUGCACAUUUCCCUCAGCUGUACAUUACCAGAGCAGUUCCAGGUUGUGGGUCUCAGAUUCAGUCAAAGAAAAUGAGAGUUUCUAUCCAGGCAAAAGCCUGGGAAAGAGCUGGGAAAGAAUGUAAAUAAUUCUUUAUCUCUCUUGUUUUUCACAUUGUUUAUAGUUAAGUUCUAUCACUGUGCGUCAAGCACUUUGCACCAAUGGUGGUGGGCUGUUUUCACUUCAGAACCAAUGGAUUUGAUCCUUGCAAAGCUCUGUAUAAAAGAAUGGUGUAUUUUUAAUAAAUUGGAGUUUUACUCUCA
rnacentral:lncRNA from 1 species